UGUAGAAAAACUGGUUCUCAUAUGAUCACUAAAGUUAAGCAACAUUAAGCCUGGUCAGUACCUAGAUGAGUGACCACUUGAGAAUAUGAGGUGCUGUAA
rnacentral:rRNA from 1 species